GUGUUCUUCCUCUUCGGCCGUUGCGGGCGCGCUCGACAAGCGGUCGUACCGCAGGAUUACCAGAAGGCACCGCCUCCGACGCUAACGGUCGCGGCGGUGGCACGGGACGCCGCACGAGACGGGGGAAUGCGUCCGCGGGGCAUUCGGACUCCGCGUUGCUGCCGGCUCCCUAUAAAAGGAAGAAGAGGGGCGCGAGAUGCGAGGCGGACACCGACGCCGAGGCCGCCGCCUCUACCAUCCGCGACGGCGACGACGCGUAAAGUGACGAGACGGAGAUCCGACCGGUCGACAAGCAAGUGACCGUGAAAAACGCGGAAUCGACCCACUGUCAAGAAGAACAGGACGACGCAUACCUGCGGAGAAGGGUGCACCUUCUGGAGAGAGAGGUCAGUCGUCUCCAAGAGAUGGUGGAACGGUUGACCAAGGAACUCACGAAAGAACUCGGCCGAAGGUCUUAAUAACGACGGUGAAAGACAAGAGGUGGAGAUCACCUCUACGAGGGGGACGAAAGGAAAUGUUCCCGAUUAUGGAUCCCCCCCUCCCCCGCCACCACCUCCCGCACACCCCUGGUCAGCAUCGCGCCGUUUCGCUGUCCCGAUGGAUUAGAAAAUAAUAUAAAAAAUAAGAAAACAGAUAGAUUCGGUGGUCCAGGAGAUUCGAGAUCCGAUAGAGGAUCUCAAGAUCCUGUUCCCCCGUAAGUUGCAUAAAGAAUUUGCAAUAAGUGGAAUUACACCUAAUGAUUUCAUUAAGAAGCAUAGUGGAUUAGAGUUUGACAUGGAUGAGCUCAGGGGACAAUUCAAAAAACAUUGUCCUGAUUAUAUGGAAAAAUUAGAGGUUAAUAGGCCAUCAAAAGCAGUAGAAUUUUGUUCCAAAGUUAUAUGUAAAAUUGGCCCUGAAUCAGGAAAGGUUAUGAAAGGGACAGGAGAUAAAGUCUGGAAAUUUGUAUUUACUAGUGAUAAGAUAAAACAUUCUGUAGUUGUAAACUACUUAUAAACAAGAAAAUGCACAAUUUUCACCAAAAUAUGAGGAAAGAUAU
rnacentral:misc_RNA from 1 species